CUGACGUCACGGAUCAGUAGCCAAUCACUGCGCAGAGCGCCAAACGUCUCUCACGGUGUAAACAAACAUGGCGGAGAAAGACGCAGAGAUUGGGUUCAAAAAGGACACGGUCAGCAAACUCCUGACAGGUUUCUUCAAAGAGGACAAAACCAGGCUAGGUGGUGAUGCUGCGCUGCUCAUGGCAGAGAUGCUCAGGGUGUUUGUCCAAGAAGCUGCGGUGAGAUCGCAGAAACAAGCUGAGUCUGAAGACUGUGACCAAGUAGACAUCGAGCACUUUGAAAAGAUCCUACCUCAGCUGCUGUUGGACUUCUAGCUCGCUGAUGCCACAAGAUGGAGCCAGAGUGCUGCCUUCCGUCUGAGUUUCCACAUCUACAUUGGAAAGCAGCAGCGCUGUCCGCCCGCCUCCUUGCCACCACCAAUAAGGCCCACCUGUGCUCCUCUGUGCAACAACAGGUGCUUCCAGCAUGCUCCAUGGCGCCCUUCAUCAAAGCCUCCUGGAGCAGUUGGAAGCAAUUAGAGUAAUAAGGGGAGCAGCCAGUCCCUUAGAUGAUGACAAGUGCCAGGAAAAAAGGAGUACCCCCUCCGGCCACUUUGAAGUUCCCUUUUGCUGUCCUGCGAUGUUUAGUUAGAGGUGGGGGGAAGGGCAAAGGGGACCUCUGGCACAGGGGGAAAGCUGAAUGGGAGUGUGCGUGCACGAAUGUGUGCAUGUGUUAGCCAAACACGACCAGAGACCACACGCGUAGAUAUUCUGUUUGAAAGGAAACAUAACAAAACACAUUGGAACAUGGUCCAAGAAGAGCAGGGUGUAAUUCUGAAGGUAAAUAAACAAAAGAGGCGAGUAGUAGAGGUGCUUUCUCUCCUUUCAUCACAGCAGAGGGGGAAGUUGGGCCUGCGAGGGAGAGGGUAAUGUGGGGUUUUCUAACCCGAGUGCCUCUGAUGGUUUUCCACCAGUGGUGUAUUUGACCGACGUGUCUUUACUAUGAGUCAGCAUAGCUGUUCUACACCUCACACUAUUUAUUUGUGUGGCUCUCGGGUGACUCACUACACUUACAAAUGCUGCUCACAUACAGCUGGAAGCAACUUGGUCUUAAGUCCAGGCUCAGAUAGGUGCUCAAGGACACAGCACCUGGAGUUUGACCCAGCACCUUUUUAGUGUGGCCCAGGCUGGAUUUGUGUUUCCCAGGAGUAACUUCCACAGCAGGCCCUCAGGAGAAGGCGUCUUUGGUCGAAUGUUAAGUUUAAUGAUGCCGUGAGGACCAUUAGCACAAAAAUACUUUUUGUGAAGUAAAUUAAUUUGUUGGGUUAAUAACAGUCAAGUCGUGACCUGGGGUUUUGAGUAGAGAGCCACCGCUUUGACAACCUGCUCAGUCAGGUGAAACGUUGCAGUUUUCUGAUAUAAAACCACAUUUUUUUGCUAAAACAAAGUACAAUAUG